rnacentral:rRNA from 1 species
CGCCGCGUGAGUGAUGAAGGCUUUCGGGUCGUAAAACUCUGUUGUUAGGGAAGAACAAGUGCUAGUUGAAUAAGCUGGCACCUUGACGGGACCUAACCAGAAAGCCACGGCUAACUACGUGCCAGCAGCCGCGGUAAUACGUAGGUGGCAAGCGUUAUCCGGAAUUAUUGGGCGUAAAGCGCGCGCAGGUGGGUCUUAAGUCUGAUGUGAAAGCCCACGGCUCAACCGUGGAGGGUCAUUGGAAACUGGGAGACUUGAGUGCAGAAGAGGAAAGUGGAAUUCCAUGUGUAGCGGGAAAUGCGUAGAGAUAUGGAGGAACACCAGUGGCGAAGGCGACUUUCUGGUCUGUAACUGACACUGAGGCGCGAAAGCGUGGGGAGCAAACAGGAUUAGAUACCCUGGUAGUCC